CUUUAUUGGAGAGUUUGAUCCUGGCUCAGGAUGAACGCUGGCGGCGUGCCUAAUACAUGCAAGUCGAGCGAAUGGAUUAAGAGCUUGCUCUUAUGAAGUUAGCGGCGGACGGGUGAGUAACACGUGGGUAACCUGCCCAUAAG
rnacentral:rRNA from 1 species